rnacentral:piRNA from 1 species
GCGAGGCCUACCUGGUGGGGCUGU